GACGAACGCUGGCGGCGUGCUUAACACAUGCCAGUCGAACGGAAAGGCCCUGCUUUUGUGGGGUGCUCGAGUGGCGAACGGGUGAGUAACACGUGAGUAACCUGCCCUUGACUUUGGGAUAACUUCAGGAAACUGGGGCUAAUACACGAUAGGAGCUCCUGCUGCAUGGGGGGGGUUGGAAAGUUUCGGCGGUUGGGGCUGGACUGGCGGCUUAUGCGCUUGUUGGGGGGGUAGUGGCUUAACAAGGCUUUGACGGGUAGCCCGCCUUGGAGCUUGACCGGCCACCUGGGUACUGCGGUACGGCCCAGUCGCCUACGUGAGGCAGCAGUCGGGAACAUUGCGCAAUGGGCGGACGCCUGUUGCAGCAACCCCCCGUGCGUGAUGACGGCUUUCUGGUGGUAAACCGCUUUCGCCUGUGAUGUAGCGUGAGUGACGGUAAUGGGUAAGGAAGCACCGGCUAACUACGUG
rnacentral:rRNA from 1 species